UACGAAGGGGGCUAGCGUUGCUCGGAAUCACUGGGCGUAAAGCGCACGUAGGCGGAUCUUUAAGUCAGGGGUGAAAUCCUGGAGCUCAACUCCAGAACUGCCUUUGAUACUGAGGGUCUUGAGUCCGGGAGAGGUGAGUGGAACUGCGAGUGUAGAGGUGAAAUUCGUAGAUAUUCGCAAGAACACCAGUGGCGAAGGCGGCUCACUGGCCCGGUAUGACGCUGAGGUGCGAAAGCGUGGGGAGCAAACAGG
rnacentral:rRNA from 1 species